rnacentral:rRNA from 1 species
GAGAUAGAACAUGGCUCAGAAUCAACGCUGGCGGCGUGCCUCAGACAUGCAAGUCGAACGCGAAAGUCCCCUUCGGGGGACAAGUAGAGUGGCGCACGGGUGAGUAACACGUAGGUAAUCUACCUUCGGAUGGGGAAUAACAAUCGGAAACGGUUGCUAAUACCGCAUAAUGCAGCGGCACCUAAUGGUGACAGUUGUUAAAGCGGGGGAUCGAAAGACCUCGCGUCUGAAGAGGAGCCUGCGGCGGAUUAGCUAGUUGGUAAGGUAAUGGCUUACCAAGGCAACGAUCCGUAACCGGCCUGAGAGGGCGGUCGGUCACACUGACACUGACAUACGGGUCAGACUCCUACGGGAGGCAGCAGUCGGGAAUUUUGGGCAAUGGGCGAAAGCCUGACCCAGCAACGCCGCGUGAAGGAUGAAAUCCCUCGGGAUGUAAACUUCGCAAGAACGGGAAGAAUAAGUAGGGGACAAUACCCCCUAUGAUGACGGUACCGUUUGUAAGCUCCGGCUAACUCCGUGCCAGCAGCCGCGGUAAUACGGGGGGAGCAAGCGUUGUUCGGAUUUACUGGGCGUAAAGGGCGCGUAGGCGGUCAGCACAAGUCAGUUGUGAAAUCUCCGGGCUUAACUCGGAAAGGUCAACUGAUACUGUGCGACUAGAGUGCGGAAGGGGCAACUGGAAUUCUUGGUGUAGCGGUGAAAUGCGUAGAUAUCAAGAGGAACACCUGCGGCGAAGGCGGGUUGCUGGGCCGACACUGACGCUGAGGCGCGAAAGCCAGGGGAGCGAACGGGAUUAGAUACCCCGGUAGUCCUGGCCUUAAACGAUGAAUGCUUGGUGUCUGGGGUUAUAUAGUCCCCGGGUGCCGUCGCUAACGCUUUACGCAUUUCGACUCAGGAGAGUUACGGGAUCGCAAGAC